GACGAACCGUGCGAACGUUGUUCGGAAUCACUGGGCGUAAAGAGCUCGUAGGCGGUUUGUUGCGUCGGCUGUGAAAUCCCGAGGCUCAACCUCGGGUCUGCAGUCGAUACGAGCAAACUAGAGUGUUGCAGGGGAGACUGGAAUUCCUGGUGUAGCGGUGAAAUGCGCAGAUAUCAGGAGGAACACCGGUGGCGAAGGCGGGUCUCUGGGCAACAACUGACGCUGAGGAGCGAAAGCAUGGGGAGCGAACAGG
rnacentral:rRNA from 1 species